rnacentral:misc_RNA from 1 species
AACUACUGGCCAAAGGACUGUGCAGUACCAGUCCUUUUGGUGCCUAAGAAGGAUGGCACCUAGCGCAUGUGUGUGGACUGUAGGGCUGUUAACAAAAUCACUGUGAAGUAUAGACACCCUAUUCAUAGAUUAGAUAAUAUGUUGAUGAAUUGCGUGGUCCUGUUGUAUUUCCUAAAAAUAAUUUGAGGAAUGAUUAUCAUCAAAUUAGGAUGAAA